rnacentral:rRNA from 1 species
UACGUAGGGGCCUAGCGUUGUCCGGAUUUAUUGGGCGUAAAGAGCUCGUAGGCGGUUCGGUAAGUCAGGUGUGAAAUCUCCACGCUCAACGUGGAGGCGCCACCUGAAACUGCCGUGACUCGAGUCCGGUAGGGGAGUGUGGAAUUCCCGGUGUAGCGGUGAAAUGCGCAGAUAUCAGGAGGAACACCGGUGGCGAAGGCGGAUCUCUGGGCCUGUUCUGACGCUGAGGCGCGAAAGCUAGGGGAGCGAACAGG